rnacentral:rRNA from 1 species
GCAGCAGUAGGGAAUCUUCCACAAUGGGCGAAAGCCUGAUGCAGCGACGCCGCGUGAGGGAUGACGGCCUUCGGGUUGUAAACCUCUUUCAGCAGGGAAGAAGCGAAAGUGACGGUACCUGCAGAAGAAGCGCCGGCUAACUACGUGCCAGCAGCCGCGGUAAUACGUAGGGCGCAAGCGUUGUCCGGAAUUAUUGGGCGUAAAGAGCUCGUAGGCGGCUUGUCGCGUCGGUUGUGAAAGCCCGGGGCUUAACCCCGGGUCUGCAGUCGAUACGGGCAGGCUAGAGUUCGGUAGGGGAGAUCGGAAUUCCUGGUGUAGCGGUGAAAUGCGCAGAUAUCAGGAGGAACACCGGUGGCGAAGGCGGAUCUCUGGGCCGAUACUGACGCUGAGGAGCGAAAGCGUGGGGAGCGAACAGGAUUAGAUACCCUGGUAGUCCACGCCGUAAACGGUGGGCACUAGGUGUGGGCAACAUUCCACGUUGUCCGUGCCGCAGCUAACGCAUUAAGUGCCCCGCCUGGGGAG